UAGCUAUUUCCCACAAUUUUGCAAUCUGAAAUCAAAUAGAUAAAUACAUAGCUUAUAAUUGGUAAAAUCUAUUUCUAGAAAUUUCUUUUGUUUCAUUAUGAAGCAUGAUAUGUGUUAGUGUAAUAUAUAUUAAAGAAUUUAUUAACACUAGUGAUUAGCAAUUUAUUAUUAACAAAGUUUGACUAAUAAUAUGAGCUUAAUUGUGCAAAGGGGCUCAGGUUUUGAACAAUUCUCAUUCUUCAUGAUAAUACAAAUUCUUACCUCAUAAAAAAUUACUGAUACAAUAGAAAACUACAAUCAUAUACAUUGGAACACAAUUUCUUCUCUUGGAAAUGAAAGAUCACACUUCAUAAUGGACAAAGUUAUGGAUAUCUGAUAGUUAUAAAAAGUACAAUUGUUUAUCUUGAAACAUAGUUCAUAAAUAAUGUUUUAGAUAAACAUCUGUUCAAAUUCUGUAAUUUUUUCGAUACUUUAUACUGUUUCGAGGCAAUAUGCGAGAACUGUUUGAACUUCGACAACUGGAGCCCACCGGUAAUAAGCCGUUUUAAAAAUAUUUCUCUCACGGCAACGAAUCUCUCGCACGAUACAUCGAUCCCAGCGUUCGCGCGUAAAUUAUCGUCUGAAAAUAUUUUGAAUACCGAGUGGCGCGCAUUUUAAAUCAACUACACAGAGCGUUAUUAUUUUUGAAGACUCGUGCCAGUAAAAUGGAACCACAUUUUUCUCUACAUUCUUAUUAAAUCCAUACGACUGUACUGACAUAUUAUUUCAAUCUAUUGGCAGGAGAUCAUUUGAAUAUUUUAUAUAAAAGAUUAUAUUUGUACUACUGCACUUUUUUUUUUAGUUUUGACAGAAACUAAUUUAAAUUUUAGAUGAAACGAUAUCUGUUAUGACUUUAUUAUUUAACUGUUAUUGUUUCAAACAUCUAUGGUGGAAUACUAAUAAUAAAAUUGUUGUCUCUGUGUGUGUAAAUUGUUGGAUUAAUACGCAGUAAAUGGCUGGAGUUUGUGAAUGUUAAAUUUUAUGGAACUACGUAUUUAAUUAUUCAAAAAGUUAUUUAUUUUAAAACUGGUGCAUCAGAUAUAAUGGUAAAUCUAGAAAAAUUAUUGUGAUUAAUUAAAGAUGUGACAUCUGAAUACUGAGAGUAUAAUUGGUAAAUCAAUAGCUUUUGUUAUAUAAACAACAAUUGUGGAAGAAUUAAUGACAAGAAAAAGAAAGAAAGAGAAUGGAGGUAAAAAUUUCAAUUAAAUGUUCUCACAAAAAGAGUCACUACAAAAAGAGAAACAGAUCUUCAACGUAGCUGAAUUUCUAUUUUUCUUUCCUUUCCUUCCACUUCUUUUUUUCUUCAGUAGAUGUUAAGAUUUCAAAUGUAUCAUAAAUUUUAAAAAUUACAAACUGGAAAUAGAACAAGUUAUGCAGCUAGAAAUAUUUAUGUACCAUGAGCUAAUAUUUAAAGUUUCACGUCAUUAAACUCACGAGUGGAAGAGCUUCUGUCACUUUUCGUCCGUCUUCGAGAACUUUCACGGUAAACACGAUUUUCAAAUUUUCUCGCGUGGAGUUUCCUCGAUUCUCGUUCUUCGAUAAACUUUUGUAUAUCGUUCGUCUUUU